UAUCUUUGAAAUAUUCAGCAGUAGGAGUUUUCUUACAAUCUGGUGGUACGUUCAUAUUGCUAAUUCAAGCCACUCAUGUUCACUCCUGACUGACUCACCCCACAGCGAUUCGCACAGCAGCCCUGUGACCCCGUCAGGUGGAUGUAGAGAGCUGGCAGCAGCACCUGUAGCAGCACAGAGGAGUUGACAUGAUCCUCAGGAGCUGAUUCAAUCGAGGCCACGUCUGGAAAAAUAUCUGGUUUUAUUCUGAUACAACAGAAGCUACUUCUGAUGGUUAUGAUAUGCAUUCCAACCAGUAAGCCGGAUAUUCGACAGUAAGUUGUUUAUAUGACCCUGAAUCAUCUCUAUCAUUAUCAGUGUUGCGAAAAUAUAAUCUGGAAAAUCCUGCGUCACUGAAGAAGAACUUUGUCCUGGACUUUAUGUUAGCAGCAAUCAAUCAAGGGCACCGAGACAUUUAUUGCUUUGUCUACGAGCCAAAUAUUGAUAUCGGCCUAAAUGAUUAAUCACAGUCCACUAAUGUAGCUUAGCAGUGUUUAUUUGAAACCAAUUUGAUCAUACAAUCAGCAUGAAUUAUUUUCGAAUGCUUUUUUAACAGAAAUGUGAAAUAUGCCACGGUUGAAGGUACAAUUUCAAAGCAGGUCCGGUAUCUCGUCCCGCGGCCCAGAGCGUGAGUCGACUCCUCAGAUCACUGCCACGGAUCCGAGCCCUCUUGACCAGGAAAUUAAGGCGGCUGUACGGGAGAAAGCAAACAAGCAGGAAAGUAUAACCACAAAAUAGAAUUCAAAAACAAUAAAGAGUGGAGCUGAACGUGAUCCUCUCAGAACACACAACCUCUGAACCCUGACAACAUGGAGGAGUGAGGUGUGUGUAUAUUUACGUCUUUAUCGACGUCGCUGGUUCCGCAGAGGCAGCCAAUCAGUCCGUUGAGGAUCUGAACGGCACACAGUAUCACCUGCAGGGAGCUGGUGGCCAUCAGGACCACGAACAGUGCGAUGUUGAACUUCACCACGUUCUUGGGCUCAGCGCACUGGCUCCAGGACUUGUAGUCGGCCAGGUAGGUCGUGGUACUGUGUGUGAAAGAAGAGGCUGUAUAACUGCUCAGGUUGAUAGACGUCACGUAUGAAACGGUUUCUGCCGUCACCUGUUUGUAAAAGGGGUCGUCCACUCGCCCUGGACUUUGCAGAGGGGCCCGUUUUUCAGACCGACUGCUGCCACAAGGAAGCUGUAGAGGGCGCCGACCAGGCCCACUGCAGCGAACAGAAUCGAUACAAACAUCUGCAGAAGUUUUAAUGUGAAGUGAAGGUCAGAAACAUAUACUGUAAGUUUCACCUUCAGACACAUGCUUAACAUUUGUUCUCCAACAUAUCAGGUCACUGAUGUAUUAAGGUUUAUUUUAUUGUCCCACCAUCAAGACUAAACUGAACGGUCAUCUCCAUUUAUUUUGUAUAAAUGAACUCGAAUGGAACAACAGUCCCCUUAAAAGUAUUUUAUUUGUACUUUAGUCAUUAUUUUAUCCUUCCUAUAUUUAGUGUCCCAUAAAUACAUGAAAACCAUGUUAAAAUAAUUUCCCAUUCAGUUCAAUUGUGACACAGUUGGUGUACAUAUUGAGAUUAAACUGUUGUAUUUCACUCUGUUUUGGAUUUGUUUUUAAUUAGGCCUUGAGAAUCUUCCAUGUUUACAGACUAAACUCUAUGGGACAGCUUUGCUUCAUGACAAAAAAUUGGAAAUACUUCUUUUAGAUAUUUGGUAAUUAAAAAUAUUCUCGGGUUUAUAUUUAUAUAAGAGUAUGAGAGUUUGAGACCAGUGUCAGUAAUGGGUUCUAACGCAUGGGUGUUGGCCCUUAUAAUAAAUGUGCUUCUGUGGAAAAAGGAGAAAUGCACUGUGCUUGGGUUGUACAUUAUCUUAUCGAUCUUGACAUAAACGCUGUGCAGUGGUGACGCAGCACUACGCAGCAAGUUCACUUUUUUGUUUCUUCAUUUUCAUCACUGAGUUCUCCGCUGUACUGGUGUCCAAUACGUACGUGACAGUUCAUUCUUUACCUUAGAAAUAAUAUUUUUGGACAAAUAAUGUUAACUCCAGCAUAACGCAUAAUGCCCUUUUCACCUUUUACUUAACACCUGUCUCCCUCUGACUGACUCACCACAAUGCGACCGGUGCAGCACCUUUGGUCUCCAGCCAGCUGGAUGUACAGACCUGAGAUCAACACCUGGAAUGACAGGAAAUUAGAUGCAGCGACAUAAAAUAUGUUCAACACACUUUAAUAAGUCUGUUUGUGAAGUCAGACUUCAGUCAGGUUUUAUGGACUUCCUGUUCCGUGCAUCCGAUAUGUUACCAAGAAUAAGACACUUCUGUUGGAAUGAAAUGUGCCUCAUUAGAUUAUCAUGUAUUAAAAUGUGUUAUAUGUAAUAACUUUGCUAGAAUGGCACUCAGUAGAGCUCGUACCGAGGCCUAACAUGAGUAACUCUCUGGGAAUCAAUCACUGAAGCACAACAUUGGGACUGAGAAAAGGUGACCACGGCAAACCAAUAAAAAAACACUACAGUUUAACCUGAGGCUGCACAUGACAUUUCAGAAUAAAGUUCUACAGCAGCUUCCAGUGUCCCACCCAGACAGGAGAGAAGCCAACUCACCAGUACACCCCCUCCGAGGAUUCCCCCCAGGUACAUCACCUCCGCGGUGAUGUGUCCCUCUCUGCUGUACUUGACGUCCCAGCCGGGAAAGAACAGCAGAAUGUUACAGAUGAUGGAUAUGAGUAUCAACGGGUACAGAGUACCAGAGAUGCAACGGGCACAUUUUGCUAC